rnacentral:rRNA from 1 species
UAAUACAGAGGGUGCAAGCGUUAAUCGGAAUUACUGGGCGUAAAGGGUGUGUAGGUGGUUAUGUAAGUUAGAUGUGAAAUCCCCGGGCUUAACCUGGGAACUGCGUUUAAAACUGCGUAGCUAGAGUAUUGCAGAGGAUAGUGGAAUUUCCAGUGUAGCGGUGAAAUGCGUAGAUAUUGGAAGGAACACCAGUGGCGAAGGCGACUGUCUGGGCAAAUACUGACACUGAGACACGAAAGCGUGGGGAGCAAACAGG